GCUAUGGUGGUGUAAUGGUUAGCAUUUCUGCCUAGCAAGCAAGAAGAAGACCCAGGUUCAAUUCCUGGCUGCAGCA